rnacentral:rRNA from 1 species
CCUACGGGGGGCAGCAGUGGGGAAUAUUGCACAAUGGGCGCAAGCCUGAUGCAGCCAUGCCGCGUGUGUGAAGAAGGCCUUCGGGUUGUAAAGCACUUUCAGCGGGGAGGAAGGCGGUGAGGUUAAUAACCUCAUCGAUUGACGUUACCCGCAGAAGAAGCACCGGCUAACUCCGUGCCAGCAGCCGCGGUAAUACGGAGGGUGCAAGCGUUAAUCGGAAUUACUGGGCGUAAAGCGCACGCAGGCGGUCUGUCAAGUCGGAUGUGAAAUCCCCGGGCUCAACCUGGGAACUGCAUUCGAAACUGGCAGGCUAGAGUCUUGUAGAGGGGGGUAGAAUUCCAGGUGUAGCGGUGAAAUGCGUAGAGAUCUGGAGGAAUACCGGUGGCGAAGGCGGCCCCCUGGACAAAGACUGACGCUCAGGUGCGAAAGCGUGGGGAGCAAACAGGAUUAGAUACCCCUGUCGUC